rfam:Schistosoma curassoni strain Dakar, Senegal genome assembly, scaffold: SCTD_scaffold0000812
AUCCAGCUGACGAGUCCUAAAUAGGACGAAACGUGUGCCCUGGAU